rnacentral:lncRNA from 1 species
GGAUCCUUCUUUGAAAGCAAUUCAUCUCCAGUAAUUUUGUUUUUGUGUGCCUUAUUUAUCCUUUAUUAUUUUUCUUUAAGCUGUAAUUUUUAUCUUGUAAUUUUUUCCAGAUGAGUUGCAUGGCAAACGAGGGUCAUAAUCGAGGAGCAGCCCAAGUAUUGAACGUCUUAGGUGUUUUCGAUCCUUCCAAAGUGAAUGAAUCAUUUUUUCCAGCUAUUCCAUCCUUGUAUAGCUUUCAAAUUAUCAUUGGUGUUUCUCGAAUAAUGCAUUGUUGAACUUUUAAACAUUUUAGUUGAUUUAAUAACGUUGG